rnacentral:rRNA from 1 species
UAAGUAUAAGCAAACUAUACCGUGAAACUGCGAAUGGCUCAUUAAAUCAGUUAUCGUUUAUUUGAUAGUACCUACUUACUUGGAUAACCGUGGUAAUUCUAGAGCUAAUACAUGCUAAAAACCUCGACUUCGGAAGGGGUGUAUUUAUUAGAUAAAAAACCAAUGCCCUCCGGGGCUCCCUGGUGAUUCAUAAUAACUAAACGAAUCGCAUGGCCUUGCGCCGGCGAUGGUUCAUUCAAAUUUCUGCCCUAUCAACUUUCGAUGGUAGGAUAGUGGCCUACCAUGGUGGCAACGGGUAACGGGGAAUUAGGGUUCUAUUCCGGAGAGGGAGCCUGAGAAACGGCUACCACAUCCAAGGAAGGCAGCAGGCGCGCAAAUUACCCAAUCCCGACGCGGGGAGGUAGUGACAAUAAAUACUGAUGUGGAGCUCUUUAGGGUUUCACAAUUGGAAUGAGAAAAAUCUAAACCACUUAAACGAGGAACAAUUGGAGGGCAAGUCUGGUGCCAGCAGCCGCGGUAAUUCCAGCUCCAAUAGCGUAUAUUAAAGUUGUUGCAGUUAAAAAGCUCGUAGUUGAACCUUGGGCCUGGCCGGCCGGUCCGCCUCACCGCGUGCACUGGUUCGGCCGGGCCUUUCCUCCUGGGGAACCGCAUGCCCUUCACUGGGUGUGCCGGGGAAUCAGGACUUUUACUUUGAAAAAAUUAGAGUGUUCAAAGCAGGCAUUUGCUCGAAUACAUUAGCAUGGAAUAAUAGAAUAGGACGUUGUGGUUCUAUUUUGUUGGUUUCUAGGACCGCCGUAAUGAUA